rnacentral:rRNA from 1 species
UGCAAGUCAAGGGGCCCGCAAGGGCACCGGCGAACGAGGUAGUAACACGUGGGUACAUCCCUUUUAGUCAGGAAUAACUAGUCGAAAGACUAGCUAAUACUUGAUAGUCUCUUCGGAGUAAAGAUUUAUCGCUAAAAGAAUGGCCUGCGGAGUAUCAGCUAGUUGGUAAGGUAAUGGCUUACCAAGGCUAUGACGCUUAGGGGAGCUGAGAGGCUGACCCCCACCGAUGGUACUGAGACACGGACCAUACACCUACGGGUGGCCGCAGUCGAGAAUCUUCCGCAAUGGACGAAAGUCUGACGGAGCGACGCCGCGUGAUGGAUGAAGUCCCUAGGGACGUAAACAUCUUUUAUGAGGGAGAAAGUUUAUUGAUAGUACCUCAC